GAGGUGAUGAGACGUUAUGAUGAGGUGAUGAGACAUUAUUAUGAGGUGAUGAGACAUUAUGAUGAGGUGAUGAGACAUUAUUAUGAGGUGAUUAGACAGUAUGAUGAGGUGAUGAGGCAUUAUUAUGAGGUGAUGAGACAUUGUGAUGAGACAUUAUUACGAGGUGAUGAGACAUUGUAAUGAGACAUUAUUAUGAGGUGAUGAGACAUUAUGAUGAGAUGAUGAGACAUUAUUAUGAGGUGAUGAGACAUUAUUAUGAGGUGAAUAGGUGAUGAGGCAUUAUUAUGAGGUGAUGAGACAGUAUUAUGAGGUGAUGAGACAUUAUUAUGAGGUGAUGAGACAGUAUGAUGAGGUGAUGAGACAUUAUUAUGAGAUAUUGUGAUGAGUCAUUAUUAUGAGGUGAUGAGACAUUGUGAUGAGACAUUAUUAUGAGGUGAUGAGACAUUGUGAUGAGACAUUAUUAUGAGGUGAUGAGACAUUCUGAUGAGACAUUAUUAUGAGGUG
rnacentral:lncRNA from 1 species